rnacentral:rRNA from 1 species
UGAGGAAUAUUGGUCAAUGGACGCAAGUCUGAACCAGCCAAGUCGCGUGAAGGAUGACUGCCCUACGGGUUGUAAACUUCUUUUGUACAAGAGUAAAGUGCGCCACGUGUGGCGUAUUGCAAGUAUUGUACGAAUAAGCAUCGGCUAACUCCGUGCCAGCAGCCGCGGUAAUACGGAGGAUGCGAGCGUUAUCCGGAUUUAUUGGGUUUAAAGGGUGCGUAGGCGGGUUUUUAAGUCAGCGGUGAAAGUUUGAGGCUUAACCUUAAAAUUGCCGUUGAAACUGGGGACCUUGAGUGUAAAUGAAGUAGGCGGAAUUCGUAGUGUAGCGGUGAAAUGCAUAGAUAUUACGAAGAACCCCGAUUGCGCAGGCAGCUUACUAAGCUACAACUGACGCUGAAGCACGAAAGCGUGGGUAUCAAACA